CAGUAGCCGCGGUAAUACGGAGGGUGCAAGCGUUAAUCGGAAUUACCGGGCGUAAAGCGCACGCAGGCGGUCUGACAAGUCAGAUGUGAAAUCCCCGGGCUUAACCUGGGAACUGCAUUUGAAACUGUCAGGCUGGAGCCUUGUAGAGGGGGGUAGAAUUCCAGGUGUAGCGGUGAAAUGCGUAGGGAUCUGGAGGAAUACCGGUGGCGAAGGCGGCCCCCUGGACAAAGACUGACGCUCAGGUGCGAAAGCGUGGGGAGUAAACAGGAUUAGAUACCCCAGUAGUCCCUGUCUCUUAUAC
rnacentral:rRNA from 1 species